GCCAAGGUAGCUCAAUGGUUAGAGCGGUCGUUUCAUAAGCGACAGGUUGUGGGUUCAAUUCCCACCCUUGGUA
rnacentral:tRNA from 2 species